GAUGAAGAACGUAGCGAAAUGCGAUAAGUAAUGUGAAUUGCAGAAUUCAGUGAAUCAUCGAAUCUUUGAACGCACAUUGCGCCCGCCAGUAUUCUGGCGGGCAUGCCUGUUCGAGCGUCAUUUCAACCCUCAGGCCCCGCCUGGCGUUGGGGAUCGGCGCGGCCCUCUCCGGGCUGCCGGCCCCGAAAACUAGUGGCGGUCUCGCUGUAGUCCUCCUCUGCGCAGUAGCAACGCUCGCACUGGAACUCGGCGCGGCCACGCCGUAAAACACCCCACUUCUGAAAGUUGACCUCGGAUCAGGUGGGAAUACCCGCUGAACUUAAGCAUAUCAAUAAGCGGAGGA
rnacentral:misc_RNA from 1 species